ACAUCCAGCGAACUUGGCAGAGAUGCCUUGGUGCCUUCGGGAACGCUGAGACAGGUGCUGCAUGGCUGUCGUCAGCUCGUGUUGUGAAAUGUUGGGUUAAGUCCCGNAACGAGCGCAACCCUUAUCCCUUUGUUGCCAGCGAUUCGGUCGGGAACUCAAAGGAGACUGCCGGUGAUAAACCGGAGGAAGGUGGGGAUGACGUCAAGUCAUCAUGGCCCUUACGAGUAGGGCUACACACGUGCUACAAUGGCGCAUACAAAGAGAAGCGACCUCGCGAGAGCAAGCGGACCUCAUAAAGUGCGUCGUAGUCCGGAUCGGAGUCUGCAACUCGACUCCGUGAAGUCGGAAUCGCUAGUAAUCGUGGAUCAGAAUGCCACGGUGAAUACGUUCCCGGGCCUUGUACACACCGCCCGUCACACCAUGGGAGUGGGUUGCAAAAGAAGUAGGUAGCUUAACCUUCGGGAGGGCGCUUACCACUUUGUGAUUCAUGACUGGGGUGAAGUCGUAACAAGGUAGGCGUAGCGAG
rnacentral:rRNA from 1 species